UACAUAGGUCCCAAGCGUUGUUCGGAUUCACUGGGCGUAAAGGGUGCGUAGGUGGUUGCGCAAGUCUGAUGUGAAAUCUCCGGGCUCAACCCGGAAAUGGCAUUGGAGACUGCGUGGCUAGAGGGUUGGAGGGGGGACUGGAAUACUUGGUGUAGCAGUGAAAUGCGUAGAUAUCAAGUGGAACACCAGUGGCGAAGGCGAGUCCCUGGACAACACCUGACACUGAGGCACGAAAGCUAGGGUAGCAAACGGG
rnacentral:rRNA from 1 species